rnacentral:tRNA from 1 species
GCCCCGGUAGCUCAGUAGGAUAGAGCAACGGUUUCCUAAACCGUAGGUCGUGAGUUCGAAUCUCGCCCGGGGUACCA